CUUUUUAUUUGAGUUAAUUGUGUUUGAGUUAGUAUAAUACUAUUGUUUGAGACUAAUUGAUUAUGGAGGUUGAUUUGGUUGAAUUUGUGUAAAUUGUGUUGUUUUGUUUUGUUUUGUUUGGAUGGUGCAGGCUGAAAUUCAAGGAGCAUAUGCAGUACUGGAGUAGAUAAGCAAGCUUGCCAAGGUUCAGAAAAAGGUCUCUGAAGUUAAGGGUGUCAUGAUCUAGAAUAUUGAAAAGGCUGUAGAAACGUGAGAACUUUGUUUCAAUUAGAUAUGCAGUUUUAUUUUUCCCAUAGUAUCUAUUGAUUUGCCAGAUUUGGUUUUGAAACUUUAAUCAAAAUAAAACAGGAAACUUUAGUUUUACAUGUAGCUUAGCCAACUAAUUUAGAAAAAAAGGAAGCCUUUGGAGGAACAGGGCCAGGUGGAGCAAGAAAUAUUGCAAUUAUUUGUUGAUGGGUGCAUGAGGGACUUCAAAUCAUGCUAUUUCAAGAUUUUCAGAAGUUAAUGCGAGUCUUGUGUCAAACUCUCUGCCAAUUGAGUUAAAUAUAUAUAGAGAGAACUCUUGUUAAAAAAUUUGUGUCAAUAUUUUUUUAAUGAAUAUCUUACAGUAUUUUAUCUAAA